rnacentral:rRNA from 1 species
UGGUGGAGUGAUUUGUCUGGUUAAUUCCGAUAACGAACGAGACCUUAACCUGCUAAAUAGCCAGGCCGGCAUUCGCUGGUCGCCGGCUUCUUAGAGGGACUGUCAGUGUCUAACUGACGGAAGUUUGAGGCAAUAACA